rnacentral:rRNA from 1 species
GAUGAACGCUGGCGGCGUGCCUAAUACAUGCAAGUCGAGCGAACGGACGAGAAGCUUGCUUUUCUGAUGUUAGCGGCGGACGGGUGAGUAACACGUGGAUAACCUACCUAUAAGACUGGGAUAACUUCGGGAAACCGGAGCUAAUACCGGAUAAUAUUUUGAACCGCAUGGUUCAAAAGUGAAAGACGGUCUUGCUGUCACUUAUAGAUGGAUCCGCGCUGCAUUAGCUAGUUGGUAAGGUAACGGCUUACCAAGGCAACGAUGCAUAGACGACCUGAGAGAGGGAUCGGCCACACUGGAACUGAGACACGGUCCAGACUCCUACGGGAGGCAGCAGUAGGGAAUCUUACGCAAUGGGCGAAAGCCUGACGGAGCAACGCCGCGCGAGUGAUGAAGGUCUUCGGAUCGUAAAACUCUGUUAUUAGGGAAGAACAUAUGUGUAAGUAACUGUGCACAUCUUGACGGUACCUAAUCAGAAAGCCACGGCUAACUACGUG